GUUUAUACGUUAUUUGCUUGGUUGAAGUGUUGUGGUUUGUUUAUAGAUAGUGUUUGCGCUGUGGAAAUUGAUAUGUCCUACGUCAUUGAACUCACCAUAUCUAUGCUUACGCUCCUUGAAUGCACCACUCUGUGCCGUGUGCUGCUAGUCUGCCUUUGUAGCUGCUAAUAGCCAGCUUUUUUCCUUGUGUCCUCUCACCAGCAUCUCGUGGUUUUGGUUUAUUGCUGUGUGUGAAUGCCAGAAGGUGGGCUCCAGCUACUAAACUGUUUCAGUUCAGCUGUCAUAGAUGGAUCCUUUCAAAGUUCUCCUGAUACUGUCUCUUGUUUUGGCGUCUACAGAUCAGAAAAUGAUCACAGCUGAGUCUGGACAGAACGUCACUCUGACAUGUCGAGCUCCAAACAACAACAUCUUAGUUGUGAAGUGGAGCAGAGCUGACCUGAAGGAAGAAUAUGUCCUUUUGUAUCGAGAUGAACAGUUUGUUCCAGGUGACCAGCAUCCAUCUUUUAAGAACUGGGUGGAUCUGCAGGACAGACAGAUGAAGGAUGGAGACGUGUCUUUGAUUCUGAACAAUGUGACAAUUAAUGACACUGGAACAUACGAGUGCCAUGUCUUCAUGAGCAGCCCAAACAAUGAACACAUUUGCAAUAUCUCCCUGAGUGUUGUUGUUCCUCCAGGUGAGUGAGUAGAGUUGAGUGUGUGUGUGAUCAGAGGUGAAGCUGCUUCCUGGUUGUUGAUGU